UACGUAGGGUGCAAGCGUUGUCCGGAAUUAUUGGGCGUAAAGAGCUCGUAGGCGGUUUGUCGCGUCUGCUGUGAAAACGCGAGGCUCAACCUCGCGCCUGCAGUGGGUACGGGCAGACUAGAGUGUGGUAGGGGAGAUUGGAAUUCCUGGUGUAGCGGUGGAAUGCGCAGAUAUCAGGAGGAACACCGAUGGCGAAGGCAGAUCUCUGGGCCAUUACUGACGCUGAGGAGCGAAAACGUGGGGAGCGAACAGG
rnacentral:rRNA from 1 species